rnacentral:piRNA from 1 species
UGAUCUAGUUAGAAAUAUAAAGCUGCCU